rnacentral:rRNA from 1 species
AGCAGUCGCCACGGUAAAACGUAGGUGGCAAGCGUUGUCCGGAAUUAUUGGGCGUAAAGGGCUCGCAGGCGGUUUCUUAAGUCUGAUGUGAAAGCCCCCGGCUCAACCGGGGAGGGUCAUUGGAAACUGGGAAACUUGAGUGCAGAAGAGGAGAGUGGAAUUCCACGUGUAGCGGUGAAAUGCGUAGAGAUGUGGAGGAACACCAGUGGCGAAGGCGACUCUCUGGUCUGUAACUGACGCUGAGGCACGAAAGCGUGGGGAGCAAACAGGAUUAGAUACCCCGUAGUCCCUGUCUCUUAUACA